rnacentral:rRNA from 1 species
GAGUUUGAUCCUAGCUCAGGACGAACGCUGGCGGCGUGCUUAACACAUGCAAGUCGAGCGGUAAGGCCCCUUCGGGGGUACACGAGCGGCGAACGGGUGAGUAACACGUGAGCAAUCUGCCCUUCACAUCGGGAUAACCUCGGGAAACCGAAGCUAAUACCGGAUACGACCACCGAUGGCAUCUUCUGGUGGUGGAAAGUUCCGGCGGUGAAGGAUGAGCUCGCGGCCUAUCAGCUUGUUGGUGGGGUAAUGGCCUACCAAGGCGACGACGGGUAGCCGGCCUGAGAGGGUGACCGGCCACACUGGGACUGAGACACGGCCCAGACUCCUACGGGAGGCAGCAGUGGGGAAUAUUGGACAAUGGGCGAAAGCCUGAUCCAGCAACGCCGCGUGAGGGAUGACGGCCUUGGUUG